AACCCAAGCCCAUGUACACCCAUGACUCGACCUAAUCUCACCUACCUUGGGCCCAGACCUAGCCCAUAAAGAGUUGGUCCUUUGAGGCCCACAUAACCUAGACCUCAAGAACCCGAAAGGCCCACAGCCUUUCAACCUAGGGCCCAACUAGCCCUAGAGCCUCCAUGAAGCCCUCAUGAAUGAUGGACCUUGGCCUUAGCCUUGGUCCCCUGGGCC
rnacentral:lncRNA from 1 species